UAAUGUCUGGGAAACUGCCUGAUGGAGGGGGAUAACUACUGGAAACGGUAGCUAAUACCGCAUAACGUCGCAAGACCAAAGAGGGGGACCGUUCGGGCCUCUUGCCAUCGGAUGUGCCCAGAUGGGAUUAGCUAGUAGGUGGGGUAACGGCUCACCUAGGCGACGAUCCCUAGCUGGUCUGAGAGGAUGACCAGCCACACUGGAACUGAGACACGGUCCAGACUCCUACGGGAGGCAGCAUG
rnacentral:rRNA from 1 species